CCUACGAGAGGCAGCAGUGGGGGAUAUUGCACAAUGGGGGAAACCCUGAUGCAGCGACGCCGCGUGGGCGAAGAAGUAUUUCGGUAUGUACAGCCCUAUCAGCAGGGAAGAAGAUGACGGUACCUGACCAAGAAGCCCCGGCUAACUACGUGCCAGCAGCCGCGGUAAUACGUAGGGGGCAAGCGUUAUCCGGAUUUACUGGGUGUAAAGGGGGCGCAGACGGCAAUGCAAGCCAGGAGUGAAAGCCCGGGGCCCAACCCCGGGACUGCUCGUGGAACUGCAUGGCUGGAGUACAGGAGGGGCAGGCGGAAUUCCUUGUGUAGCGGUGACAUGCGUAGAUAUACGGAGGAACACCAGUGGCGAAGGCGGCCUGCUGGACAUUAACUGACGCUGAGGCGCGAAAGCGUGGGGAGCAAACAGGAUUAGAUACCCGAGUAGUC
rnacentral:rRNA from 1 species